GCCGGCAUGGUGUAGUGGUUUGAACACUGGACUAGGACUCUGGAGACAAGGGUUCGAUUCCCAGCAUGGGUA
rnacentral:tRNA from 1 species